rnacentral:rRNA from 1 species
ACACCUACGGGAGGCAGCAGUAGGGAAUCUUCCACAAUGGACGAAAGUCUGAUGGAGCAACGCCGCGUGAGUGAAGAAGGGUUUCGGCUCGUAAAGCUCUGUUGGUAGUGAAGAAAGAUAGAGGUAGUAACUGGCCUUUAUUUGACGGUAAUUACUUAGAAAGUCACGGCUAACUACGUGGCAGCAGCCGCGGUAAUACGUAGGUGGCAAGCGUUGUCCGGAUUUAUUGGGCGUAAAGCGAGUGCAGGGGGGUUCAAAAGGCUGAUGGGGA